UGUGGGUGUGUGUUGUGUGGGAAUGUAUGUUGGUGUAAAUGUUGUAAAUUUAUGAAUUGUAUGGGUGAGUACUCGAUGGAGAGGUGUAUUUGUGUACAUGUGCUAAGUGUGAGUGUGUGUUGUAUGGGGAUGUGAUGUGUAUGUUCCAUAAAUAAGUUAAGGAAUUUGAGAGUUUCAGGAUAAUGUUGAUGGUUUAGGAAUAGUUUAUGUUGGAAUACCCAUCGUGGGGGUUAAGUAUGCGAGUCUACGAGGCAUCUUGAGUAGGCACG
rnacentral:lncRNA from 1 species